rnacentral:rRNA from 3 species
GGACGCCAGUCUGCGUGGAGCCGACCUUGAAAUACCACCCUUUAAUGUUUGAUGUUCUAACGUGGACCCGUAAUCCGGGUUGCGGACAGUGUCUGGUGGGUAGUUUGACUGGGGCGGUCUCCUCCUAAAGAGUAACGGAGGAGCACGAAGGUUGGCUAAUCCUGGUCGGACAUCAGGAGGUUAGUGCAAUGGCAUAAGCCAGCUUGACUGCGAGCGUGACGGCGCGAGCAGGUGCGAAAGCAGGUCAUAGUGAUCCGGUGGUUCUGAAUGGAAGGGCCAUCGCUCAACGGAUAAAAGGUACUCCGGGGAUAACAGGCUGAUACCGCCCAAGAGUUCAUAUCGACGGCGGUGUUUGGCACCUCGAUGUCGGCUCAUCACAUCCUGGGGCUGAAGUAGGUCCCAAGGGUAUGGCUGUUCGCCAUUUAAAGUGGUACGCGAGCUGGGUUUAGAACGUCGUGAGACAGUUCGGUCCCUAUCUGCCGUGGGCGCUGGAGAACUGAGGGGGGCUGCUCCUAGUACGAGAGGACCGGAGUGGACGCAUCACUGGUGUUCGGGUUGUCAUGCCAAUGGCACUGCCCGGUAGCUAAAUGCGGAAGAGAUAAGUGCUGAAAGCAUCUAAGCACGAAACUUGCCCCGA